rnacentral:rRNA from 1 species
UACACUCCUACGGGAGGCAGCAGUGGGGAAUUUUGGACAAUGGGCGAAAGCCUGAUCCAGCAAUGCCGCGUGAGUGAAGAAGGCCUUCGGGUUGUAAAGCUCUUUUGUCAGGGAAGAAACGGUGAGAGCUAAUAUCUCUUGCUAAUGACGGUACCUGAAGAAUAAGCACCGGCUAACUACGUGCCAGCAGCCGCGGUAAUACGUAGGGUGCAAGCGUUAAUCGGAAUUACUGGGCGUAAAGCGUGCGCAGGCGGUUUUGUAAGUCUGAUGUGAAAUCCCCGGGCUCAACCUGGGAAUUGCAUUGGAGACUGCAAGGCUAGAAUCUGGCAGAGGGGGGUAGAAUUCCACGUGUAGCAGUGAAAUGCGUAGAUAUGUGGAGGAACACCGAUGGCGAAGGCAGCCCCCUGGGUCAAGAUUGACGCUCAUGCACGAAAGCGUGGGGAGCAAACAGGAUUAGAAACCCCAGUAGUCCCAUGAU